rnacentral:rRNA from 2 species
GGGUUGUGAGGUUAAGCGACUAAGCGUACACGGUGGAUGCCCUGGCAGUCAGAGGCGAUGAAGGGCGUGCUAAUCUGCGAUAAGCGCCGGUAAGGUGAUAUGAACCGUUAUAACCGGCGAUACCCGAAUGGGGAAACCCAGUGUGACUCGUCACACUAUCAUUAACUGAAUCCAUAGGUUAAUGAGGCGAACCGGGGGAACUGAAACAUCUAAGUACCCCGAGGAAAAGAAAUCAACCGAGAUUCCCCCAGUAGCGGCGAGCGAACGGGGAGGAGCCCAGAGCCUGAAUCAGCAUGUGUGUUAGUGGAAGCGUCUGGAAAGGCGCGCGAUACAGGGUGACAGCCCCGUACACAAAAGCGCAUGUGCUGUGAGCUCGAUGAGUAGGGCGGGACACGUGGUAUCCUGUCUGAAUAUGGGGGGACCAUCCUCCAAGGCUAAAUACUCCUGACUGACCGAUAGUGAACCAGUACCGUGAGGGAAAGGCGAAAAGAACCCCGGCGAGGGGAGUGAAAAAGAACCUGAAACCGUGUACGUACAAGCAGUGGGAGCACAGGUUUACCUGUGUGACUGCGUACCUUUUGU